ACGGAAAAGACCUCAAUGACUCUUCCUUGCUUUCAGUCCACAAACAUGUCGAGAUGACGGCCAACUGGCUAGCUUUCAUAUCUGUGCAACACGCCACAUAUCAUGAAUCAUUUGACUGCGGCCAUGCUGGAGCAAAUCGACCCCAGGACUUUCUGUGGACAUGCUGGAGCCCAAGGCAAAAGAAAGAGGCAAGAUAUCAUGCCAUGGUACUGAACCUGGAACCACGUGGUUAGGAAACUGUAGAGGAAGAAGGAACGAUAGCCAUGACCUUUGGAGGUCCUCCAAGACCACUGAACUCGUUGCAGUAUCUCCACAUCCUCAUCCUCACAA
rnacentral:lncRNA from 1 species